UAAAUAUUUUUUUACAGCGUAAAAGCAAAAUAAAUUCAUAUAUACUGUAAUACAGUAAACAAAAGUAUUUAAUUUAAUUUACAGUAACAAGUGAGCCCUCAAAUAACCAAAAGUAUGAAAGACUGUGAACCUACAAUUUGGAAGAUGCAAAUCUAAUGCUAGUCCUCGACGAAAUGUGGUAUCUAUGGACUAUCCUGAACCUGAAAUGGGUGGAAGUGAGGGUGGUGAGAUUAUAUAAUCUCAGUGAGUAAACAAAUAUCAUCUAAAAUAUCUAAAGCUGAGUAAAUGGAGACAGAUAAAAUAGAUUAGCAUAAAAUAAUUCAUAGCAUUUCAAACUCAUUUUUAUGAGAUAAAAUAAAUUUAUUUCAUCCAAAUAAUCAUUGAGGCUUAUGAUUUUUUGAAAAGCUUGGCUCGUGCAAAAAAAAUCAUUACCAUACUCAGUUAUCAGGAAUACCUUGACUGAGGGCUAUCCCAACUAAGUCCGCCAAGCCUGUAAAAAAAAUUAUAUACACAUAAAUCAUGUUUUUAUUUUGAAAACAUAGCCGUUUCUUGGCAUUGGCCGAGUUCACCAUCACGUGGUGGUUUUGCAUGAAGUGAACUCUAAAGUGUUAACCUCAAGCGUUAUCCACCUACGCCUCUCUACUGAGGUAAGAUAUAAUGGGGUUUACCUUGCCCUUCUAACAGGCUGGUCCACGAAAACCCGCCCAUUGCAAUAAGCUAAUUGAUAUCCACCAAAUCAAUAAAAUUCCAACAGCAUGACGUGGUAAUUAUUUUACAACACAGCAUGUCAAGGCAAAACAACAGUUCAUACAUUUUCAGCACAUUUACCAAAUCCAGCCACUCAUGCCCACAUUAUCAUAAGCCAUUCAAUUCAAACCAUAAUUUACAACACAACACUUAGUCUCCAAUUACUCCAUUUUCCAAAACCAUCAUUCAAUUUCAAGACAAUUUUAUAAAAUCAUUUCAUUUAAUCACAUUUUGCUUUUAAAACAUAAAGAUUUACCAUUUAAACUCAUUUUCCAUAAAAUCACAAAAACGAAUAAAAACUACUUUAGAUAAUCAAGAUGAUGAUAAGAUUACUCACAAUGUCUAGAGUGCGGAUUUUCAAAGUACUCUAACUACUGGUCCUCGGAUGCAAUUUCUUACGUUUAUCGGAGGACUCACCACCUUGACAUAGUACAUAAUCGAGAAACUUAUUAUGUCACAACCCGGUACUCCCCUUGAGCCCGUGACAACUGUAGCGACGUCCCGGUAAACAUUCGUUACCCAAAGUGCCAACCGGAACCUCGUAAGGCUUUAGUACCAUUUUUUUUUCAUCUCCCCUGUGAGUAAUCAUCGCCAAACCUCGUUUUUAAAGAAUUUUAAGCUUUUUCCCUUUCAAAACUGUGAAAAAAUAAUUUUCGCCUCAUAGGGGUGUUUUCGUCAUUUUUCCUUAAAAUUUUUCGAACCUGACUAAAAAUGUAGUAGAUGAGUGGAAAACACAUAUUUCAUGAUUUAAAAUAAAUUUGGGUGUCUAAAACAUUUAUUAAAAAUGAUAUUGCAACUAUUUGAAUAAAAUAAAAAUAUUUAAUAAAAUAUUCUAAUUUCUUGUAAAACAAUAUUUAUAGUCAUCAGUAAAUAACUUUUGUAAUGUAAAAGCUAAAUAAAUUCAUACGUACUAUAAUACAGAUAACCGGGAUAUGAAAUUUACUUUACAGUGACUCGUGGGCCCACAAGGAACAAAAGUGCACAAAGGCAGUAAACCUACAGUUUUUGGAGUAGUAAAGCCGACUAUAAUGCUUGACGAUAUCUGUUAUCCACAAGCUACCUUGGGCCUGAAAUGGUUGAAAAUGAGGGUGGUGAGAUUAUAAAAUCCCAAUAAGUAAACAGAUACCAUCUAAACUAUCUAAAGUCGAGUAAAUGGAGACAGAUAAAACAAUUUAACAUAUUGAAAUUCAUCACCUUUCAACUUGUUUCAACCAAAUAAAAUCAAUUCAUAUAAAUCGAGUAAUUAACAUAGCUUAUGAAUUUCUUAAAACUUUGGCUCAUGCCAAAAUCAUUAUCAUACUCAGUCAUCAGGGAUACCUUGGCCGAGGGCUAUUCCAAACCGAAUCCGCCAAGGCUGUUAAAAAGUUAUGUACGUAUAAAUCAUGUUUUUAUUUUGAAAACAUAGCCGUUCCUUAGCGUUGGCCGAGUUCCCCUCACGUGGUGGUUGGGCGUGAAGUGAACUCUAAAGUUUGACCUCGGGAGUUACCCUACGCGCCUCUCCAAUCGACGUACAUAUAUAUGACCAGGUUCCGUGCCCCUCUAAUAGGUUGGUCCACAGAACCAGCCCACUGCAGCAAGCUAAACCCACCAUACAAUAAAAAUUCAACAGCAUGAUAUGGCAAUUUUAUCAUUAU
rnacentral:lncRNA from 1 species